rnacentral:ncRNA from 1 species
GAAAAAAGGAUUAUUUCAUUGAUGGAUGAGAGGUUGGUGGUGCGAAUUGCGAAGAAUCACUUUAUGUGAUAAAGUUAGGCAUCGAAACAAGCUUGGAAAAAGCAAAAUCUGUUGAAUUUCCCGUUCACCAGUUUUUAUAUUGGGCAGAAAUAAUCAGCCUUUGUUGACAGACAGGUAGGCGCAGACGCUUCAAAGAUGUCUACAGGUUAAUAUGAUGUCAUGUGGUUGACGGUGCGGUAAUGCAACCGAACUCGGAGACGUCGGCGGUAGUUUUGGGAAGAGUUCUCUUUUCUUUGUUAGGAGUGCAUCCACUUUCUGGAAUCGGCUUGUCCGGAGAUAGGGGGCUAGCCUCCGUAAAUGUGCGUUGGUGGUACAGUGGUUAGGACUCUCGCCGACCAUGCACAUGGUCCGGGGUUCGACCCCCUGCCAAAGCACACGUGAUAUCUAUGGUUGGCCUGCGAAAUUUGGGCUAUCGAUAUCACAUGCUGAAAAUUUCAUACUUGUGCCAAAAAUACAGUGUGAAAUCAAGCUGUAAUCAAAAUAAAAAUAAAAAAAUAAAUCACCACCCUUCUUGUAGUGUCCGGAGCGCCCCUGUCGCCACUUGAAAAUCUGAGCCAGGCAGUAUAAUUUUCGUGGCAGGCCGUACUCAUAUCCCAAGCAGGUCUCC